rfam:Alligator sinensis unplaced genomic scaffold scaffold693_1, whole genome shotgun sequence
GCACUGGUGGUUCAAUGGCAGAAUUCCUGCUUGCCAUGCAGGGGACCUGGGUUCAAUUCCCAGCUAGUGCA